UAAGACGUAGGUGGCGAACGUUAUCCGGAAUUAUUGGGCGUAAAGGGUGCGUAGAUGGUUUAAUAAGUUAGCGGUGGUAAAUCGAGGCUCAACCUCGUGGAAGCUGGUAAUACUGUUAGGCUUGAGUACAGGAGAGGUUAACGGAACUCCAUGUGGAGCGGUAAAAUGUGUAGAUAUGUGGAAGAACAUCAAUAACGGCGAAGGCAGUUAACUAUUCUGUUACUGACAUUGAGGCACGAAAGCGUGGGGAGCAAAACGGAUUAGAUACCCGUGUAGUCCACGCCCUAAACGAUGAGUGCUAGAUAUUGGGAACUAGAUUCUCAGUGUCGCUAGAUAACUCGGUAAGCACUCCGCCUGGGUAGUACGGUCGCAAGGCUG
rnacentral:rRNA from 1 species